rnacentral:rRNA from 1 species
UACAGAGGGUGCGAGCGUUGUUCGGAAUUAUUGGGCGUAAAGCGCUUGUAGGCGGUCUCGUAAGUCUCGUGUGAAAUCCCUUGGCUCAACCAAGGAAGUGCACGAGAUACUAGGAGACUGGAGUGCCGGAGAGGGUCGCGGAAUUCCCGGUGUAGAGGUGAAAUUCGUAGAUAUCGGGAGGAACACCAGUGGCGAAGGCGGCGACCUGGACGGACACUGACGCUGAGACGCGAAAGCGUGGGGAG